rnacentral:rRNA from 1 species
AUUGAACGCUGGCGGCAGGCCUAACACAUGCAAGUCGAGCGGAUGAAGGGAGCUUGCUCCUGGAUUCAGCGGCGGACGGGUGAGUAAUGCCUAGGAAUCUGCCUGGUAGUGGGGGAUAACGUCCGGAAACGGGCGCUAAUACCGCAUACGUCCUGAUGGUGAAAGUGGGGGAUCUUCGGACCUCACGCUCUCAGAUGAGCCUAGGUCGGAUUAGCUAGUUGGUGGGGUAAAGGCCUACCAAGGCGACGAUCCGUAAAUGGUCUGAGAGGAUGAUCAGUCACACUGGAACUGAGACACGGUCCAGACUCCUACGGGAGGCAGCAGUGGGGAAUAGUGGACAAUGGGCGAAAGCCUGAUCCAGCCAUGCCGCGUGUGUGAAGAAGGUCUUCGGAUUGUAAAGCACUUUAAGUUGGGAGGAAGGGCAGUAAGUUAAUACCUUGCUGUUUUGACGGUACCAACAGAAUAAGCACCGGCUAACUUCGUG